CUACGGGCGGCAGCAGUGAGGAAUUUUGCGCAAUGGGGGUAACCCUGACGCAGCAACGCCGCGUGAGUGAUGAAGGCUUUCGGGUCGUAAAGCUCUGUCAAGUGGGAAGAAUAUACAAAAUGCUAAUACCAUUUUGUACUGACGGUACCACUGAAGGAAGCACCGGCUAGCUCCGUGCCAGCAGCCGCGGUAAUACGGGGGGUGCAAGCGUUAUUCGGAAUUAUUGGGCGUAAAGAGCACGUAGGCGGCCGCUUAAGUCAGAUGUGAAAGCCCGGGGCUCAACCCCGGAAGUGCAUUUGAAACUAAGUGGCUUGAGUAUGGGAGAGGGAAGUGGAAUUCCUGGUGUAGAGGUGAAAUUCGUAGAUAUCAGGAGGAACACCGGUGGCGAAGGCGACUUCCUGGACCAAUACUGACGCUGAGGCGCGAAGGCGUGGGGAGCAAACAGGAUUAGAUACCCGCGUAGUC
rnacentral:rRNA from 1 species